GGACAAUUAGCUCAGUUGGUAGAGCAUUCCGUUCACAUCGGAAAGGUCGCAGGUUCAAGUCCUGCAUUGUCCA
rnacentral:tRNA from 1 species